rnacentral:rRNA from 1 species
GAUGAACGCUGGCGGCGUGCCUAAUACAUGUAAGUCGAGCGAACAGACGAGGAGCUUGCUCCUCUGACGUUAGCGGCGGACGGGUGAGUAACACGUGGAUAACCUACCUAUAAGACUGGGAUAACUUCGGGAAACCGGAGCUAAUACCGGAUAAUAUAUUGAACCGCAUGGUUCAAUAGUGAAAGACGGUUUUGCUGUCACUUAUAGAUGGAUCCGCGCCGCAUUAGCUAGUUGGUAAGGUAACGGCUUACCAAGGCGACGAUGCGUAGCCGACCUGAGAGGGUGAUCGGCCACACUGGAACUGAGACACGGUCCAGACUCCUACGGGAGGCAGCAGUAGGGAAUCUUCCGCAAUGGGCGAAAGCCUGACGGAGCAACGCCGCGUGAGUGAUGAAGGUCUUCGGAUCGUAAAACUCUGUUAUUAGGGAAGAACAAAUGUGUAAGUAACUAUGCACGGCUUGACGGUACCUAAUCAGAAAGCCACGGCUAACUACGUG